UCUUAUGGAUGAGCAAAGAGAGUAGUUUCUUGGAAUAGAACCUACUCCUGGUGAAGAUGCUGUAAA
rnacentral:pre_miRNA from 1 species